GACGAACGCUGGCGGCGUGCCUAAUACAUGCAAGUCGAACGCAGUGGGGACGGGUGAGUCACACGUGGGUAACCUCCCAUCCGAUGUUAUAACACUUGGAAACAGGUGCUAAACCGAUACUGAUGGAUGGACCCGCGGUGGAUUGGCUAGUUGGUGAGGUAACGGCUCACCAAGGCAACGAUGCGUAGCAGAGCUGGGAGGGUGAUCGGGCACACGGGGACUCAACCACGGCGCAGACUCUUACGGCAGGCAGCAGGAGGGAAGCUUCGAAAAUGAACGCAAGUCUGAUCGAGCAAUGCCGCGUGAGUGACGAAGGUUUUCGGAUCGUAAAACUCUGCUGUUAGAGAAGCGGUAGCUAACCAGAAAGCCACGGCCAACUACGUGCCAGCAGCCGCGGUAAUUC
rnacentral:rRNA from 1 species